AAAUCUGCUUUAUGUAAUCACAACAUAAAUGAAGAUAGUAAACAAAGAAAAAGUAAAAUAACUAGAAUAAGUGAGAAAAAAACGUAGAUUUUUAUCAUACGAAAGUUUUAUGAGAUAGAAAAGAAAUAAUUUAUAAAUUUUAAUUUAUAAUAAUUUAUAAAUCAUCGUAAACUUAUUUGUUUUUAGUAUUUAGUAAUUAAUAAAAUUUUGUUUGAAAAUUGAGGUUAUCUUUUUUUUAUUUUGAUAAACAAUGAAUAUAUUUACAUUAUUUAGAAGUACUUGUCAAACUAUAGGAUUUAUUGCUUCAAAACUGUCAUCCGUGGAAUCAUUUACAAGAAUUAUAAAUAAUAAUAUACAUCAUACAUAUAAUAAACAGUAUUCAAAUUUUUCAAGCAUGCAUGUAAAUAAAAUUACAUCUAAAUUACUUCAACCAUUACUACCAAUAUAUAAUGUUACAUGUGGUUUAAAAACAAAAACUUUAUUACAUCGAAGAUGUAAACAUUGUUUAUUAAUGUGGAAAAAUGAUAGGAAAUACAUAAUAUGUAAAGCAAAACCAAGACAUAAUCAAAUGGAAAGAGUUAAAAGGGAAAAAAACACAUGGAUAUUAACACAUGCUACACAAAGUAAAAUAAGAGAAUGGUAAAAAAAUGGCAUUAUGUAAAAUAGAUAAAUGUUUAAAUUAUGAUUUAAAAUAAAAUGAUUUAAAACGAAUUUAU